AUGAUCAAGAAUACUAAUUUUCUACAUUGGGCCUUAUGUGUAUUUUAAUUAUUUAUUUUUCCUUGGGCUGAAUGUAAGCCCAUAACAGCUUACGAAGUCAGGGCAAUAUGUAGCUAAGUUUAUUUUUCUCAGCCACAUAUUUAACUUUCAAAAAUCUUGAGAAGCAAGCAGAUCUUCCCAGCCACAAUUUUUAAUCCUUGCCGGCCACGUUUAAGCUUCCUCCUCAGUCAUUUUUUUCUCAAUUUUGUGCACCACAAAUUAUUCUUGUGCACUACGUAAUUCAGUUAGUAUAUAUACACUCCAUUUUCCUUCUUUGUAAUUGCCCAGGAAUUCAACCAAACUCAACGUUUAUAAAUCAUUCUGUUUCUUGCUACUGCACAAAUUUCAACUGGUGCGGCGCGACUAGGAACGUGAACUUUAAUUUCUCGCAGUCAAUUUCAAAGUUAAAGUUUCAGGUAACUAAGGUUGGAGACGCGUGGAGGAUCGAAUGGGCGCGUCACGUAUAUAUAUAUUUUGAAAAAUAUGAUGGCGUAGUUACAUCUAGCCUUUUGCUUUGUAUGGUUUCAAAGUCUAAAACUACUUUUGAGUUUUUGAUAUAACUUAUCAGGUUUAAUGUUAUCAUAUUAGCUUUUCCUCCA